rnacentral:rRNA from 1 species
GGGUCAGUAGGUUGGUCGUGCCACCGGUACGUACUGGUCUCACUGAUUCCUCCUUCCUAAAGAACCGUAAUGCCAUUAAUUUGGUGUUGCGGGGAAACAGGACUGUUACUUUGAAAAAAUUAGAGUGUUUAAAGCAAGCUAACGCUUGAAUACAUUAGCAUGGAAUAAUGAAAUAGGGCGAUCGAUCCUAUUUUGUUGGUUUCUAGGAUUGACGUA